GACGAACGCUGGCGGCGUGCCUAAUACAUGCAAGUCGAACGCAGUGGGGACGGGUGAGUAACACGUGGGUAACCUCCCAUCAGAGGGGAUAACACUUGGAAACAGGUGCUAAACCGCUACUGAUGGAUGGACCCGGGGUGCAUUAGCUAGUUGGUGAGGUAACGGCUCACCAAGGCUACGAGGCAUAGCCGGCCUGAGAGGAGGAUCGGCCACACUGGAACUGAGACACGGCCCAGACUCCUACGGGAGGCAGCAGUAGGGAAUCUUGGGCAAUGGGCGCAAGUCUGACCGAGCAACGCCGCGUGUGUGAAGAAGGUCUUCGGAUUGUAAAACACUGUUGUUGGGGAGGCGGUAUCUAACGAGAAAGCCACGGCUAACUACGUGCCAGCAGCCGCGGUAAUAC
rnacentral:rRNA from 1 species